AUUGAACGCUGGCGGCAGGCCUAACACAUGCAAGUCGAGCGGAUGAAGGGAGCUUGCUCCUGGAUUCAGCUGCGGACGGGUGAGUAAUGCCUAGGAAUCUGCCUGGUAGUGGGGGAUAACGUCCGGAAACGGGCGCUAAUACCGCAUACGUCCUGAGGGAGAAAGGGGGGGAUCUUCGGACCUCACGCUAUCAGAUGAGCCUAGGUCGGAUUAGCUAGUUGGUGGGGUAAAGGCCUACCAAGGCGACGAUCCGUAACUGGUCUGAGAGGAUGAUCAGUCACACUGGAACUGAGACACGGUCCAGACUCCUACGGGAGGCAGCAGUGGGGAAUAUUGGACAAUGGGCGAAAGCCUGCUCCAGCCAUGCCGCGUGUGUGAAGAAGGUCUUCGGAUUUUAAAGCACUUUAAGUUGGGAGGAAGGGCAGUAAGUUAAUACCUUGCUGUUUUGACGUUACCAACAGAAUAAGCACCGGCUAACUUCGUG
rnacentral:rRNA from 1 species